GACGAACGCUGGCGGCGUGCUUAACACAUGCAAGUCGAACGGAAAGGCCCUGCUUUUGUGGGGUGCUCGAGUGGCGAACGGGUGAGUAACACGUGAGUAACCUGCCCUUGACUUUGGGAUAACUUCAGGAAACUGGGGCUAAUACCGGAUAGGAGCUCCUGCUGCAUGGUGGGGGUUGGAAAGUUUCGGCGGUUGGGGAUGGACUCGCGGCUUAUCAGCUUGUUGGUGGGGUAGUGGCUUACCAAGGUUUUGACGGGUAGGCGGCCUGAGAGGGUGACCGGCCACAUUGGGACUGAGAGACGGCCCAGACUCCUACGGGAGGCAGCAGUGGGGAAUAUUGCGCAAUGGGCGGAAGCCUGAUGCAGCAACGCCGCGUGCGGGAUGACGGCCUUCGGGUUGUAAACCGCUUUCGCCUGUGACGAAGCGUGAGUGACGGUAAUGGGUAAAGAAGCACCGGCUAACUACGUG
rnacentral:rRNA from 1 species